CUCUCUCUCUCUCUCUCUCAUUUCGUGUUUAGAUUAAGAUCCUAAGAUUUUGAAAAGGGGAGGUAUUGAAAAUUUGGUCUUUCAAACUUUCUAACACAAAUUGGCAUCAAAUCGAAGGUGUUGAAACUCUGCUAAGCCUUUAACAGAUUGUUUAAGAGGAAAUUUUUGGAGAUAAAUAAUGGAUUUUUUAAAUGAGGCAAGGUUUUUAAAAGUUUCAAAAUCUUCAAAACCUUCACUUUUUCAACUCAUCGGGCAUAGUUAUUAAAGGUGUGCACCAAAAUCUCAUCAAACUAACAAACUCAGGAUUACAAACCUCCUAUAUUUUAAUUUUCAAUACUACUAA
rnacentral:misc_RNA from 1 species